rnacentral:lncRNA from 1 species
UCACUGAUCUGACGGCGUAUCACCAACGUCGUCAGAUUUUUUCUUCAAGCUCAAUUCUCUAGUUUAGGUUGAUGCCCAUUGUGAUGCCUUAUUAGCUCUUUAACGCUAUGCCACCAAUAUUGUCAGAACUUUCUCUCAGACUUCAACUCUCUGGUUAGGCUAAAGCCUAUCACAAGGCUGGCGACUUAUCACGGUCGUCGUCAGCCAUGUUUUCA